rnacentral:rRNA from 1 species
GAUGACUGCUGGCGGCGUGCCUAAUACAUGCAAGUCGAGCGGACGGACCAGAUGCUUGCUUCUCUGAGGUUAGCUGCGGACGUGACAGUAACACAUGGAUAACCUACCUGUAAGACUCCGCUUACUUCGGGAAUCCGGAUCCACUACCGUAGAAUCUUUUGAACCGCAUGGUUCAAACUUCAAAGACGGUCUUGCUGUCACUUAUCGCUCGAUCCGCGCUGCAUUGGCUACUUGGUAAGGUAACCGCUUACCAAGGCAACGAUGCAUAGCCGACCUGAGAGGGUGAUCGGCCACACUAGAACUGAGACACGGUCCACACUCCUACGGGAGGCAGCCGUAGGGCACCUUCCGCCAUGGGCGAAAGCCUGACGGAGCGCCGCCCCGCGAGUGGUGAAGGUCUUGGGAGCGGAAAACUCUGUACUGAGGGAAGAACACAUGUGUCAGUAACUGUGAACCUCCUGACGGUACCCAGUAAGAAAGCAGCGGCUACAUACGAG